GGAAGGAUUCCUGUCCUGUCUACUAAGAAAUGUUAAGUCAAUGUCACAAUUGUCACCUCUUCAGAGCCGUGAGGUUUGUUUGUUGUUUUGUACUGGACUAUGUUCUUCUAAGCAUCAAAAUGCAACCUCUCGAUUCUGGUCCUGAUGGUUCUCUAGACUCCUGCCUGGCUUGCCACUUGCUCUUCUUGUCUUGCCUACACUGAGUCAUGUUGCAGUUUCCCUUCUGGCUCCCAGCCUUACACUAACUCUGGAACACUCAGAGCUGAUAGGCCAGCCCUGCUAGGGAGACAGAGGACUCCCUGGCCUGCAUGAGACGUGCUCAUCUCAUUCUGACUCCUCCUUGCUGCCUGGCUCUCCUGUUCUCUGGCCCAACUCUCCUUCCUGUGAUCUGACCAGGUUCUAGGCGAGGCAGUAGCAUAGGAAGGAUCCAUUCAUAUCUCCAUCUGUGUUCAGCAGGACAGAAAGGUUCCCUAAGAAUGAAGAGAUGGUAUUAAAGAACCCUUCUUGAAGAAAUCACCAUUUGGCCCAUCAGGUCUCCUUUGAUGUCUAUAUUUGAAAGGUGGCAUUGUUGUUAAUACUCGGGGAAUGCAUUCCCCAUCUCUAACUGAACUAGCCCUAGUGAAACCCCUAGGGCUCUUCCCUUGCUUCGGGGACACUUUACCUUCUAUGGAGACCUCUAGCAAGAACCACAAAGACCAUGAUGGCGCCUAUUCUUUUAUGGCCUACACUCCAGUUAGUGCAGACCUUAGGGUGAAUUGCAACCUACGUCGCCUCUUGACCCUCCUCUUGAGUUGAGGUCUUCAUCCAGGAAAAGCCUGCUGUCUUGCUGAUCUCCUUAUUCCCUGGCAUGGCCAGAGCCCUCUGUCCCUUCACGGAGAGCAGCCAAACCAGGAUGAAGACCGUGCACUUGGUCUCACAGAGAAACAACUUUUGCUUCUCUUUCAUGGGAAAGAAAUUAACAAAUUAUUUUCUCCAUACAGACCCUCAGUUUCAGCCCCUGUUCUUAAAGCAGAGAUGGUAUUUACAGCUAAUGAAACCACAAGAAAGAGAACUCCUUUUGUAGGGAGCUGGCACCUUUUGGUUUCCUUUCUAUAACCCACAUGCUCCACAGAUAAGGUGAAAUGGAUGUGUAGCCCCACAGACAGUCUAAAAUGAAACAAGGGGCAUUUCCUAGAAGCUGCAGGGGAAGCAUGUUGGAGCAUAUGGAGCGGAGUAGACAUGCACAUCCCCACGCUCUCUGUGGAGAGGAGAACUGUGACUGUGUGUACCAUGGGAAAGAAGAUGACACCCUCCAUCAGCAAGGCAGCUAAUUUGGUCUUGAAAAGAGCAAUGAUUUGGGUACAAAGCAAUCAUGUUCAACUGCAUAAGUUGGAUUCUGUGUGCUGUGUUCCCGGUUAGUCCCUAUCCUGUUCUUGAUGUUCUCUGCAAAAGAGAAUAGAAACACUAUCCCUAUAAAAUCUUCGUGAGGCCUAUACUAGCCUGUCCCACCUGGACCCCUCUCCUAUGCAAAUGACUCUCUAGAAUAAGAGAAGAGGAGGAGAAAAUGAUAGACCAUCCAAGGGAAAUAUGCAUAAAGAUUACCUCCUCCAGUGGCUAACAACUCACAUGAAUCCCAGAUCAAGGAAGAAGAGACUCCGUAAUGACAGCUCACUUGCCUUCUUUCUCCCCCAAAUCUCUAUCUUUACAAGGCCAUCCUGUCAAAGCCCAAGUCCAUCAGACCUGUGUUGGAAUCACAUCUUUGAAGUGAGCAUCCUGCUGUGUCUCAUGAUCCUCCCUGUGUGUAAUUGCUCUAAGAACCAGGUAGCUGAUGCACAGAAGCUUCAGCCCAGGGUCUGAUGGUAGUCGUGUUACUUCUGUCAUUUUCAUCAGGAGUAACAUCUUCUGUCCACUGGCUAAGAAAGCUUUUAAUAGACACACUGCUGACUGAGAAUUUUCCUCCCAUUGUAGUUCAUUUCAUUCCCCAGAAAAUUUCUCAACCCUUCCUGAUUCUGUUGGAACAUGUGUGAAAUUCAUUACUUCACAGACUCGGAGUCUUCCUGCCUCGAAGCCAUUCCAUAGCUGUGCCAAAACACACGAGUCUGCUGACAACAUAUUACUGCAUCUAUGAAACGGAGACGGGGCAGCCUGACCCAUGCUUCAGGGCAGAGUGUGUGUGCUUAUGAACAGAAUCACCUUCAACCCAGAUACAAUCUUUAUUGUUAUGACUUAUCUCUGCUUCUUCCUGAGUACUGGCAAGAUGGACCAGAACAGGACAGGACCUUUGCAGUACUCUGGACCAGUGUACAAGUGACGUUCUUUAAAGACUGAUUUGGAGAAUUUGCUAGUGUCAUCUAUGAUUUCACAGCAUCACACAUUAAAGUUCAGCGUCUUCAUCAGCCGUCUUUAUAUAACUCGUGCUAUUUCGAGUUCUACUUGCGAAUGCACAGACUCAGGCAAACGCAAGACUGUGGAGAGCCUGGCUUGUCUCCAGGGCCCACUCUCCAAUGUGGAAUCACUGCCACUUGCCUGUUACAAAAUACCUUCUUUUCCUCUCCACACAGCUAUGGAAAGGCUUUCCGAGACCACCCUGACUGUUGGAGAGAAAAGGACAUCUGAACUGAGUGCUGUCUUGAGAAUUAUCCCCACUGUGUGGAAACCAUUACCCCAGGGGUACAUCCUGAGCCUCAGCGGCCAAUGAUCCCAGAAAGAUAGCAGCUAGAAGCAAAACCACGAACUUGGUUCACAGAGAUUUCUUGGUGCACUGUCACUCUCCCUUGUUGCAUGUAUAUCACACCAUACUCUGGGUUGUGGAGAGAUUUGUCUUCCUUAGCGGUAAGCACUCCGUGAUUCACUCUUUACCAAGAACUAAGGAAGAGGAAGUUCAGCAAAUCCUCCCCUUUAGGAGUUGGCCCAGGAUUAUGUAAGUGGGUUGAGAGGAAUAGUAGAAACAGAUGAUUUUAAUUCACCUCAUCUGUUCAGUACCUGCAGCGCAGAUGCGGUGUUUGUGAGCAUUGCAGCAUCUGUUUCAUUAUACUGUUACCACAUCCCUAG
rnacentral:lncRNA from 1 species